GAUAGAGUAAAACUCUCAUUGUUAAACCUUGAUGUCAUUCAGCAUGGAAAAAAGUGGCUUAAUUCAAAACAAAAUAUUAAGGGAAUUGAAUGACCUGGC